UACAGGGGGGGCAAGCGUUGUUCGGAAUUACUGGGCGUAAAGGGUCUGUAGGUGGCUUGCUAAGUCAGACGUGAAAUCCCUCAGCUUAACUGGGGAGCUGCGUCUGAUACUGGCAAGCUUGAGUGCAGGAGAGGAACGCGGAAUUCCAGGUGUAGCGGUGAAAUUCGUAGAUAUUGGGAAGAACACCGGUGGCGAAGGCGGCGACCUGGUCCGAUACUGACGCUGAGGCGCGAAAGCUAGGGGAGCAAACAGG
rnacentral:rRNA from 1 species